UCUGGAAAGGCCGCUCGCGAUCAGAGCUGUUGCGCUAUAUUGUUUAUUGUUAUUAUUAUUCUCAUUCAGCGUUUGUUUCAUGUACAAUUCACCGAGCGCACGGGCAAAGAAUGGAAAUCUGGAGUGCAGGGAGAAGCAUUUUAAAACGCGACACGUGAGCUCCGAUUGAGCUACGCUGCAAAGUCCGUCCCAUGACUCCGCGUCAGGUCCCUACUAAGUGCUGCUGCGUCUUUAGUCCGACCCCGUAAGUUGAAGCCAAGCCUCUACAUUUGUAUGCGUGCGUCUCCAAAGCUUAAGGGGAAGCAAAAUGCAGAGAACAGGAGCUUUGGUUCCUUGGAUGCUUUGACUUAAGCGCCAGCUGUCUUAACGCUCACUGUACAAUCAACAUCCAAGCAUGUUACUAAGGUACACCUGACCAUUGCACCAACAGGAAGUUUAACUGAAGAACACUAUGGAACUAGAUAUACUGUAUAGCUCGAUUUGUUGAGGCCAAGAUAUUCCACACAACACAACCAUGCUUUCAAACAUACUUCAUGCACUGGGAACAAAAAAUGGCCCAAACCAUUCCCACGCAGCAACAAUGUUUUAUUAAGAUGAAGAAUUUUAUAUUAAGCCCCCGAUUGAUUAAUCAAGAAGUGUGUCCCAUGUACAUAUGCCAUCCUUCCAUUCAUUUGUAUAUUUUGUCCUCAUUAAGGUUUUCGGGUGAGCUGGUGCACACAC